CGCACCACCAAGCCAUUGGAGCGUGAGACGGUGCUGGACGCCGCCGCUGGUAUUCUGGAAGCUCUUCAAAAAACGCUUUAUAGUCGAAGUCUUAUAAAGAAGGGAAUUAGUGUAAAUCUAUUUGGAGCAACUGGAUAUGUUACAAAAACAGCUUUGCGAUUCUCUGUUUCGUCAUAGGCUUAUAUCAAACAAAUGUUUCGAUGUAAAUUUUACUGAGUUAUAUGCCAUUCGUGAAUUCUGACCUUGUUUUAUGCGGGUUUUUGACUAAUUAUUACGCGAAACGUCAUUUUGUUCUCAUGCUGGAUUUGACCUCCUUGAGAAUACGCGAGGCAUCAAAAGUCGGAGUGACACCUUCGUUUUAAUUCAAGAGCCUCUAGUGGAGUUGUCCAGUAGCUGGGUCAUUGCUGUGGAGGUUCGUGACAGACUAGGGGUGUUAUUUACAUUCACGGAAGAGAGUCAACAGAGGGCAGGUGAGCUAAGUGGAGUAAAGACCCUAUCAAGAAGUCGCAAAUGAGAUGCUGCCGGUGAGAAAACACCUGCCGUAAAGCGCCAUUAAGACGUCUUUGGCAUUUCUUAUUCAUGGAGAGGAAAUCGAGAGGGUAGGAGAGACGGAGAGUGACAAGGAGAUGAGGAGGAGGAGGAGAUAGGGGAGAAAUAAACACGAAAGCGAAUUGCAUUGACUGAUUGGGAUGUACUGAAGAGAAAAACUAUCUGAGUGCCCACAAACUUCUAGCCAAAUGUACUCAGAUUCCGCUUGCUGACGAGAGCAACCAGGAGUUCCUUUGAAGAUUCCGAGAUCAAGAUCUUUUACAGAGAGAGAGAGAGAGAAAGAGAUACACAGAGAAGUCAGUCAGAGAGGAGAGGAAAUCCGUAGAAGUCGCAUGUUACCAUUACUAAGGAGAAGGUACUCGUUACUUUCUUUCGAGUGUGCUGGUAAACGAACACCGCUCUAGUAUUUCUCCACUGAUGCCCUCACUGAUACACUACUUGAUGCGAUCUGUGGCGUUGUUUUGUGAAUGGAUGGACAACUUGAGCCGAGCCGUGGCGUAUUAAUGCAAGGCGAAGCAAAACCCUGAAUACUUAUCGUCUCUAACCAACCGAUCUCUUUUACGUUCCAUUUCCUUCAUUACCCACUCGCUCGCUCCAAGCACCCCCAUCCUGAUUCGAACGUGUUAAAUGGAAGCAUUGGCAGGUGUAUUUUAUUGAUUCUGCUGUUCCAGCUUCUCAGCUCUAGAUCAAGAGAUACAUCCGAUUGACUGAAGAGAGGUUUUUCAUUUUACACCAGCUCUGAUUGAUUUUUCUGGUAGCCUACGCGCUACGAGAGGUGACUUGGAUUAAACAAAAAGCUGCAAUUAUCAUCUCAUUCGACACUAUAGGAUGUUUUUACAUCCAUGACUUCACAGACUGGAUUAUUAAUUCAGGUGUUGAUCUGUUCAAACUCAUUAUACAGGAUUUUCUAACCAACAUUGCAAGACUUUUGUCUGGAUCAUCAUCAUUUUCUUUUUUUCUGACACGAUUUCACAAUCGUAAGACAGUAAACCCCGAACAGGAAUAUCUUCUUGAACUGGAGCAAAUAUCGACCUUGUUCUAGCUCGCUAAUCUACUGUUACGUGGACUUUCGUGUUUUUUGAGAACGUUAAUCCAACUUGUAUAGUAUAUAAUUAUGUCAAAUAAUUAAUGGUGAACAUCAGGAUAUCAAAAAUCUAUUGACAUAAUUAUCUGAACUUUGCUCUUUAUGAGGAAAUAAUUUACCAAUUUAAUCUUGAUGCAGCGCAGGUGCUUUUAGCCAACACGUCAGUGAAACUGUUGGUGAAUGAUUCCAUCUCGUAAGCUUAUUUAGAGUGUGAAAAUCAAACAUUUAUCACCUAUUUCUGUCGGUAGAAAGACAACUCGUAUAAGUUCACAGUCCUUUUAACGUUUAAACCGAAUCAAAUAUCACUCAAUAAAGUGUGAUUUUUAUUUCUCCACUUGCCAUGAUCUAAGCUUGAACUUGAAGUGUGAAAAAGAAAUAAUAUACUAUAUCUUAAGUCAAUGAUUCCAUCAGAGAGACAUUAUUAUUUUUCAUUCUUUGCAUCGGUAAAAGUUCACUGCUACAGCUUGGCAAUCUAUAAAUUCACACCAUUGGACAAAACCACGCAGCUUGCAAGCGCAACGUAGAACAUGAAUGAAGCCAACAUCGAUUAAAGCAAGAGCUCAUCUAAUUUAGAGGGCUAAUGUACUUGGAAGGGGUUAUAAUUUUGUGCGUUUGACUACGAGCAGCUGCGGACUUACGCCAAAGGAAAAACCCCGCCGAGAUGUGAAUUCGUAUAUCCAUUCUCUACGUCUGUGUUCAAUUAAUUACGGAUCACAUCGCACGAAAGCCAUGUUUCAACUAUUCAUCAUCUUUUUGUCAAUAUCAUGAUUUUUGUAUUCAUGAUAUUUUGCUAUAAAGCAACGUAAGCAGGCGUCGUAGCGUUCAUUUCACUUCGUUCACGUCGCUCUGACAGCAUGCAAUGAACGAAACUCUGUCGUCGGAAAUAUCACGUGAUAUAUAAACAGGAGCGCUGAUUGGAUAAAAGGUGUCUGUGGAGAUGCGUAUUUAUAAAGCUCGUCUAGUUUGCCCACAAGAGACUGUCUUUAUUGACAGAGGAUAUUCAAAAACUCCUAACUGGAAUAUACUUAAUGCUGCAAAGAUGAUUUGGAUUAUCAACCUAUAUUUUGUGAUUUUAGCUGUGGCAGAGAUCGUGGUGGUCCAGGCUGCGAGGAACAGCGGUCUGAUGAGUCCUGAUUUGGCUGGUCCU